AGGGAAGGGCUAAACCCUUGCUUGCUCCACAGAGGAGGCAUAUUACUUUUCUCUUACUUUUGCAGGGACACCAUAUAUUUGGGGAUGCUGAAAACUUAACCAACAAAAGACCUCUGCUCCCCAAUUUGGAAAGGGCAUUAGGUAUAAUGCUAUUUCUGGUUGCUUCUUGUUUUUGUUUUUAACCAUAUUUUAUAGCCAAACAGAAAUCGCUGCAUAACUUCAGAAGAUGUUUCCUUGAAACAUCUGAAGUAUGUGGUUGUGAAGUAUGAAGCUGGUGAAGUAUGUGGUCACCCUGCAGAAGUGAACAACACAACAGUUUCAUUUCUUCCUUCCUAAUCAAAAUUGGGUCUUGCCAUGUUGCUCACUCUGGUCUCGAUCUCCUGCCCUCAAGUAAUCCUCACACCUUUGCCUCCCAAAGUCCUGGAAUUACAGGAAUGCUGUAACCCGGCUAAAUGCAGCUGAUGGCACUUACAAGUCUUGGUGACAGAGAAAACAGCUUGAUACAAAAGAUGGUGAGACGGUUUUUCUGAGAAGAGUAAAAGGACUCCAGGCAUGAGGGCUCUGGAAAAUAUCAUUGAAUGAAUAAGUGAUUUAAUGAACAAAUAAAUGAAGCACCAGUGGUUGAAGGGCUUCUAAGUUUUUCACCCUGAUGUGGGUGGGUGGAAAGGCCUAUCAAAGGCCUUGAGAAAAAACUGCCCUCACAGCCUUAACCCUACAGGCCUGGAACCAGAUGGACAUUUUGGCUUCACUGAUCACCCGGUUCACUUGUUUUUCAGUUCAUCUCUUCCUAUAAUAAUAUGGUCUGUUGUAGCUAUAAUUCACCUCCAGAGCCAUCAGAAUUCUCCUAGUGAAAAUGGCCCUGAGAUCAAACACAGGGACCAUUGCUAGUAAACUUUAUAAAUCGAACAAGAAAUCAUGUGAUAUAAUCAGAUAAGUAGUUCAUUUUGUCUCCCAAUCUGUCAUCAUAACCCUGCCCCUGGGUUGACUGCUCUCUGAUACUGUGGUUUUGUAACUCGUUGAUAAAAGUUCUUCAAACACUUAGAGACACACAAUGUAAUUUCAAUAAUAUAAACGUCCAGGCUGGGCACCGCGACUCAUGCCUGUAAUUCCAACACUUUUGAAGGCCUAAAUGGGUGGAUCACUUGAAGCCAGAAGUUUGAGACUAGCCUGACCAACAUGGUGAAACCCUGUCUCUAUUAAAAAUACAAAAAAAUUAGCUGGGCGUGGUGGCACACAUCUGUAAUCUCAGCUGUUCAGGAGGCUGAGGCAGGAAAAUCGCCAGAACCCAGGAGGCAGAGGUAGCAAUGAGCCAAGAUGGUGCCCCUGCACUCCAGCCUGGGAGACAAAGUGAGACUUGGUCUCAAAACAAAACAAACUUCAACAAAAAAAGCCCAGCCCCAGGUAAUACACUUUAAACUUGAAUUAACGUUACUCUUGCCUCCCCCUGCUGUACCCCACUGAGAGCUACCUGGUUGCUGGGCGUGCGUCCUCCUAUCCCCCUAGCUUGCCAGCUGGGACCCAGGCAGGGGAUAGGGCAGAGAGUAAAGGGAUGUUGGAAAGUUCUUGCUCAACUGCAACUGGUCCGAGGUGACUCACUCUCUUGGGACCUGUAGAUUUUUAAAACCAACUCUCUCAUCAGCCGUUUUGUGG
ensembl:lncRNA